GGACCGUCCAGGCUCUCCUGCAAUGGCCACCAGGGGGCGCCGCUCCCCCAGCCUUCCUCUUACUGAACCUACCCCCCCACCACCACCCCCCAACAACCUGCUCGCGAGAAACCAGGCCUUGGAAGGAGUCCAGGGGAGCAGGCACCAGAGAUUUUGAAAAGUGCCAUGUGGAGGAGCGCCUGUUCCCAUUUUACAGAUGAGGAAUUUGAGGCCCAAAGAUGUUGGCAACAUUCCAGCUGCCCCUUCUCCAACCUGAACUUUCUGGAAGCCUGGGCACCUGCUUCAUUGUUCUCCAGGGGCCCCCAUCAGCCACCCAUCCCACACCCUCCCCAUCUGAGCAGAGCCGGGAGCCCCCUCUGCAGCCCUGUCCUGCUUGACAUUCCUUCCCCACCCCAGGGACCCUGCGGGGUCAGGCUUUGCCCCUCGACACCCCAAGGUAGGCAGCAGCACGAAUAAACAAUGGGACAUUUGAACCAGGAAGAGCCUGUGGUUGAAGCCAAAACAGGCACCAAGGUUUUCUCUCAGCUCCU